GCAGGAUUGAAGAGGAUGAUGAUGAACCAAAGAAGGCAAUGGGAAACCCAGAAUACAAGUAAACUAACACAGGUCUCUGUUCUUCACAUCCCAUCUCCAGCAAUCCCCGGUGGAUCAGGGAACAUAGACAGAAGGUAUAACCAUAUGGAACUAAUAAAUCCAUGAAGACCGAUUCCGUAGUGAUGCCCCCAGUCCCCCGGCCAGGUCCAGACAUGAUAAAAGAGCACAGCGCAGUGAUCUCAGCAGCCCCAUGACAGACAUGAUGCAGUGAGAGACUGGGAGAUUGGCCUUCCCAUUGCCUUUGUG